CUACUUAGUUUUGGAUACUNGAACUAGCUUAAACGAUACGCUUGCAGCUUGCGCUGUAAGAAGAUAUCGUAAAUGCCGCGUGAUUACUGUUGUGGGUAGGUUACAGGCACGACCAUACUGUCUGAAGAUAUCAGCCACACUGGACUGAAUACGCCAAACUCUACGGAGGCUGGGGAUUUGGGACAUGGCGAGCUGAUCCACAUGCGUGAGUGAAAAGUCUCGGAUGGAAUCUCCGGUAGAUAUGACGGUACCAAACCCGGUAUUCGCCCAGGGCUAGCGUUGUUCGGAAUAACUGGGCGUACAGGGCGCGUCAGGCGGCCUGUCAGUUAGGUGUGUAAGACCUGGGGUUCGAACCCAGGAACUGCUUUNAAACUGGGGUGAAAACUAAAGGGGAUAUGGGANAUCCACCGAUGUGAAGGUGAAAAUCGCAGAUUUUUGGGAGGAAAACCCGGGGGAANGGGACAAUCUGGUUAGAAAUCUGAAGCUGAGGCGCGAUAACGUGGGGAGCAAACAGGAUUAGAUACCCUGGUUAUCCACGCCGUAAACGAUAAGUGCUUGAUGUUGGAUGCUAACGCAUUCAGUGUCGGAUUAACGCGUUAA
rnacentral:rRNA from 1 species